UACUGGUCUGAUCCACUUUAGAUCAUAUUGGUCUGAAUGUGGAAUAUGAACUAAAAUCAUUUUACCACCCCUGAUUGUUAAUAUCUUCAGUGUAAUUUUUGCAUGUCAUAAAUCAAUCUCAUGAGCCGGAUUGGACCCUUUGGUGGGGCCAGUUUUG